rnacentral:rRNA from 1 species
UACGUAGGGUGCAAGCGUUAAUCGGAAUUACUGGGCGUAAAGCGUGCGCAGGCGGUUGUGCAAGACCGAUGUGGAAUCCCCCGGGCUCAACCUGGGAAUGGCAUUGGUGACUGCACGGCUAGAGUGUGUCAGAGGGGGGUAGAAUUCCACGUGUAGCAGUGAAAUGCGUAGAGAUGUGGAGGAAUACCGAUGGCGAAGGCAGCCCCCCUGGGAUAACACUGACGCUCAUGCACGAAAGCGUGGGGAGCAAACAGG